rnacentral:lncRNA from 1 species
UUCACGGCCACCCCUUGCCCGGUGGUGGCUGGCGGCAAGGGCGGCCUUCCCCCGAGUUCGGAGGGCCUGUACCGGCGGUCGGUGAUGACCGUCGGUGCCGGAAAAUCGGAGAAAAGAGGCCGAACAGAGGUUCUCUUUUCCAACAAAAUCCGGCGACACCCGUCGCCGGCAAUCGUGCCCACAGGCACAGGAAAGAAGGGAGAGAAGAGAGGGAGAGGAAGGAGACCUUACCACAACCUCCGGUGACCCCCACCGGUGUGAAAUCGCGGCGAGCAAAGGUCGAGGGGCC